UGGGGUGCUCGAGUGGCGAACGGGUGAGUAACACGUGAGUAACCUGCCCUUGACUUUGGGGUAACUUCAGGAAACUGGGGCUAAUACCGGAUAGGAGCUCCUGCUGCAUGGUGGGGGUUGGAAAGUUUCGGCGGUUGGGGAUGGACUCGCGGCUUAUCAGCUUGUUGGUGGGGUAGUGGCUUACCAAGGCUUUGACGGGUAGCCGGCCUGAGAGGGUGACCGGCCACAUUGGGACUGAGAUACGGCCCAG
rnacentral:rRNA from 1 species